CAAAAGCCUUUUUCAAAUCAAUGAAUAAGAUAGCAUUAAUUAACCCACUAUCCAUAUUUGUGUACCAUUUAUCAGUGGCAUCAAGAUAGCUGUCAACGUGGAAUGAAGGGGUCUAAAUCAUGACUGUAUGCCAGAUAAAAGAUUGUUUUUGGUUAAAAAAGCAUGUGCUUGGUCAAAAGCAACCUUCAAUUAAAAUUUUGCAACUACAGGGAAGACUGAAUGAGCGCCGCACUAUAAACAGUGUAAAAACUUUCCACCGUCAAAUUGUCCAAAUGGAGACAUUUAGUAACAAAGACAUUUAGAACUUGUGUAUUUUAUUGUUAAAAUUCUUG